GAUGAACGCUAGCGGCAGGCCUAACACAUGCAAGUCGAGGGGUAGCAGGAUUAAGCUUGCUUAAUUGCUGACGACCGGCGCACGGGUGCGUAACGCGUAUGCAACCUACCUUAUACUGGGGUAUAGCCCGGAGAAAUUCGGAUUAAUCCCCCAUAGUACUAAUGAAUCGCAUGGUUUAUUAGUUAAAGCAUUGCGGUAUAAGAUGGGCGUGCGUCCUAUUAGCUAGAUGGUGAGGUAACGGCUCACCAUGGCUACGAUAGGUAGGGGGCCUGAGAGGGUGGUCCCCCACACUGGUACUGAGAAACGGACCAGACUCCUACGGGAGGCAGCAGUGAGGAAUAUUGGUCAAUGGGCGCAAGCCUGAACCAGCCAUGCCGCGUGCAGGAAGAAUGCCCUAUGGGUUGUAAACUGCUUUUAUUUGGGAAUAAACCUCUUUACGUGUAGAGAGCUGAAGGUACCAAAUGAAUAAGCACCGGCUAACUCCGUGCCAGCCGCCGCAGUAA
rnacentral:rRNA from 1 species